CCCUUAGACACUCUAGGCGGCACGCGCGCUACAAUGGGUGGAAGACCGUGUUACUGCCUUCGAAAGAAGGGGUGAAUCACGAAUUCUUACCCGUGAAUGGGAUAGUUUGUUGCAAUUUUCGGACUUGAACUAGGAAUCCCUUGUAAACAUGCUCAAGAAUAGCGUGUUGAAUACGUCCCUGCCGUUUGUACACACCGCCCGUCGUUUCUUCCGACUGAUACUCAUUGUGAGUUGCAAGGACCCUUUAUUGGGAAAUUGCUGCAAAUGCUUUGUAUUGGAGGAAGAAAAAGUCGUAACA
rnacentral:rRNA from 1 species